UCAGUGGUUUGUUUCCGUUCUUACUUUUUUUCCAAUUGAAUAUUUGUUUGCAUAGGUUGACAGUGAUUCAUUUUGUGGUGUGAUUCGUUUUAUAGUCGUCUGUACCUAGCGAAGGUGUGUACGAUUAAGUGGGGCCUGGCGUCAUUGUGAGUUUAAAGUUCUUCAUUUUGGUUAAUUUAGUGAUCUUCGUCUGCCAUCUCAAGCAUUCCAUCAGUUUUCUCCUAUCCCUCAUCCUCUGUCCAGAGGAAAAAAAGACAGGUAAUGGUUGACGAUUCUUCGUUGAGGAAACCAAACGGAGAUGGAGAUGGAGACCACAGGCCAAACGCGACCGGAAAAGAAAAAAACCAUACUGAUGACGUUACUGGUAGACUUUCCACUUCAUUAAAGCAUCUCCCAAACGCUUUAAUGUUGUAUUCAACAUCGGAGGAAUAGGAGAUGAAAAUGCUUCUACAAGGGUGUUGCGUAUGUGCGAAACCUUCUUUGAAGACAACGAGAUCGUUGGAGAAUGAAAAGUUAGUUGUUGUACCAAACUCAUCGGACAAGUUCAAAGUUUUCGAGAGGUUAUGUCGGUUCUUUACAAAUCGACUUCAGGGAAUACCACCGCCUUUGACAAACUAUUAGACCACAGUUUGCAACAGGGAGGAAUUUGUAUGCAAAUAGAAAUCCAAAUUGAAAGCAUAGCGUUCUUGAUAGUCACUGACCAUGCAGCGUUCUUGAUAGUCACUGACCAAAUGGAAUCCUAGGAAACUAAUAACAGCUGAUCUAAGUUUUUGAGUUUGUAAGAUCUAAGUUUUCAGCCGCUUCAGCCAGUUUUGGUCUAUGAUGGUGAGCAUGGGCUUAUCUGAGAGGUUUUAUGAAGUUGUAUUCUGGUUCCGAUUAUUAUAAGCCCUAAUGUUGUAAGCUCAAUGAUGGCGAGCCAAGGAUCGGUUGAAGGCUUCUUGAAUGUGUAAGUUGGUGCUAUGUUGGUUGCUAAGGGAAAAUAUUUGUGGGAACGUAUAUUUUUAUAUUAUCAACCGGGAACUUCUUAAAGCUUUACCAAUUUGUACGCUUGGCUUUAAGUAAGUUUUGGGCAUUUAUUUGUCGAAUGCCAUUCUGACCUGUUUCUAAGGUUUCUAGAGCAAGCCACAUGUAUGUGCUCUCCUUGCUUUAUCUUCUCAUGGUCGCAUGGCUCUUUUUGCCGACAGACUACCAUUUCCGGACCUACUAAUGUCUGAUUUUCAAGACAUAGAACGGUGUUUCUAGAGGUUGUAUUUUCUCAUAAGGCUAUGAUGAGUCAAUACAUUUGAUUAUAAAGUUGAUGAUAUUGCCUUGGCAUGAUAGGGUUCAAGGAUGGCAAUUCAUUACUUGCAACCUUCCCUUCAACCAUGGUGGUAUUGUUGUUUUCUAGACUCUGAGCCUAUCAUAAGCAUAUUUGCCUCGACUAAAGUUUUCGUUUUAACUAUCCGAUGGUGCUUGGCUUUGUUUUGGUUUAAACUAAUAGAACAAACAAGAAAGUAGCGGGGGUUGGGAAGCUUCCGUUGUCUGUUGAGAUCAAACUCUCUCAAACCUAUCGCCCCAAUCUAACAUGCGAAUGUACAACCUACACCUUACAGAUUUCAGCAACUUAAUUAACUAUUCUGUCAAUAGCCACUACGGGGAAACUUCAUCACCAGAUUACUUUCUUCCAUUUCUGACCUUGGAAUCCAUAUAACCAUCAACAAUUAUAUAAAUCUGCAGGUUCGUGGAGGUUCAGUUGGAUUCAUUGAAUUGAUUUACGGUGUUUUGAAGCAUAUUCGAAUAGUGUGUACUGUUGCACAACAAAUAUGGGCUUUCAUAGAAACCUGGUGCAAGCUAAGCCGAUUUUAUAUUCUUGAGCUUAAAUAUUUGGUUGAUAUACAAAAUAAAUGCCACGGGUCAAGGAAAUGGAGACGCGCAAUAUUAUCGGUCAUGCAGACAGCCCUAUGAAAUUAAAACGUAUGGCUUCCUAUGGGUUAAAAACAGCGCAAAAUGCAAUGCGUUGUCGUGGGAAGAUUGAUGUAAUUUCGAGUUACACUUUAUGGGGGUGCGAUGUAAUGUUUUUAUUUGGUAAACUAUGUAAUAUCUCCGGGUUAACAUUUUUGUUGACCGGUUAAUUUGAAUAAAAUAUUUUGUUGGCCGUUAAAAAAAUAUAUUUGUAGUAGUAAUGAAGGUGGGUUAACUAGAA